rnacentral:rRNA from 1 species
AUUGAACGCUGGCGGCAGGCCUAACACAUGCAAGUCGAACGAGUGGCGGACGGGUGCGUAAUUUCUGGGAAACUGCCCGAUGGAUGGGGGUAACUACUGGAAACGGUAGCUAAUACCGCAUACCAUCGGAUGUGCCCCGAUGGGGGUUGCUGGUAGGUGGGGUAACGGCUCACCUAGGCGACGAUCCCUAGCUGGUGUGAGAGGAUGACCAGCCACACUGGAACUGGGACACGGUCCAGAGUCCUACGGGAGGCAGCAGUGGGGAACAGUGCACAAUGGGCGCAAGCCUGAUGCAGCCAUGCCGCGUGUAUGAAGAAGGCCUUCGGGUGGUAAAGUACUUUCAGCGAGGAGGCGGUACUCGCAGAAGAAGCACCGGCUAACUCCGUGCCAGCAGCCGCGGUAAUUC